rnacentral:tRNA from 1 species
GGUGCCGUGGCGUAGUGGUUAGCGCGCCUGCCUGAUGACCAUUAGGUAAUGGGUUCAAGGCCUGUCGCUGCUA